rnacentral:rRNA from 1 species
UACGUAGGGGGCUAGCGUUGUCCGGAUUUAUUGGGCGUAAAGAGCGUGUAGGCGGCCAGGUAGGUCUGCUGUGAAAACUCGAGGCUCAACCUCGAGACGUCGGCGGAAACCAUCUGGCUAGAGUCCGGGAGAGGGAUGCGGAAUUCCAGGUGUAGCGGUGAAAUGCGUAGAUAUCUGGAGGAACACCGGUGGCGAAGGCGGCAUCCUGGACCGGCAUUGACGCUGAGGCGCGAAAGCCAGGGGAGCAAACGGG